CGGGUAUCAUCCUGUGUUGACUUCAUCGUUUUAUAAAUUAUUAUAAGAAAGUGAACACAGCUGGUGGUAUCUCA